ACAGGUUGUGUUGGCUCCAGGUUUUCAGCAUUGUGCCUGCACUGAAUAAAAGCAAGCAGCUCCAGCUUCUCGGGGCUGUUCUCUGGCCACUAGAGCCAGGCAGUCACCUAGCUGCUCUUACACUACAUACAUCAGUGUCUGAGUACUGAUUUCCUCUCUUGGCCAGGGUCUGUGGGACAGACCCGGCAGGUGGGCCCUGUGUGAGGAAGGCUGCAAUGGACUGCAGUGGAACCCUCGGAAACGAAAGUGAGGUGACUGCACAGUGGGUUUUGAGGGAGAGGAAUAAAAUAUGAAUGUGUCUUCAUCAACAUUUUCACCUGGACAUCGUCUUCUAUCCAUUACCUCUUUCAAUCCCAGCACCAACCCAGGAAAGUGGGCAAGGCUGUGUCCCCUGGGAGCAGAACAGAGAAUUGGAGGACCAGCACUCGAGAGCUGAACAAGCCUGCAUGGCCAUCCAUCAUAGUUACUAAAGAGAUUAGACUAACUCUCUGUAGCUCCAGAGGGCAAAAGAAGAACCACUUGGUAGAAUCCACCAGAGGCAGUUUUGAAUUCGAAGAGAAGAAGCACUUUCUAAUGGUCACACAGCUGGCCAGCCCUGAGUGAGCUGUCCCAGGAAGCUCAGGGAAACUAUCUUUCAAAACAGAAGGAAAAAUUAAGAUGUUCCAGAUAAGCAAAAACGGAGAGAAUCUGUCACUAGCAGAGACGCUCUAUCUACAAGGAGUACCAAAGAGAGUGCAUCAGGCUAAAAUGAAAGGACUUUGAAAGGACGGUAACUGGAAUCCACAGGAAGAAAACAAGAGCACCAGUAAAGAUAUCUCUAAAAGAUAUCCUCAAUGCCAUUUCACAGGUGAGGAAAUGUGGGCACAGAGAGGUAAGGUUGACAGUGUGGGUCUGGUCUGAGCUUGGUGUGCAGAAAUGGAUUCUCUGUGCUCACGACCUUGUGAAUCCAACUGAAACUGCUAUUUUCCUCUACCUGGUGAAUGACAAGAGCGCAGACGUGUCAGGGGCUUGCUUUCUGUCUCCAUGAGCAAUUGAGGCGGCAUCACCCUCUCCAGGCCGCCCUCACGAGAGAGGGACUCAUCUUUGACAAUUUGGGAAAAUGCAGCCAGUACUCUGAAGAUAUAUUAUGUAAAAAGCAGAACUUCCGCAAUGUGAGUCUUUCCAUUUUACCCCCUUCUGUUUUCUUUAAAUGUCAACAUCCUUACUUAUUCUUCUGUCUCAUGGAAGCUAUCAAAAGAGUGAUGAUUCUAGGAAUACAUGAACUCCUAGAAAUUUGUGGCUCCUAAAGACAUACUCAUUUGCGGCAUGAAAUAUGUCUCUGUGAGUGUGUAAACCCAGGCAGUUUCAUGGGGCCAUUACAGUGCAGGGCUGAAUUGUUUUGCUGCAGAGCUGUCUGUAAUGACCUGCUCCUAACUGGUGCUCACGGCUUCCACUUUAAACUGUGACACCUGGGGAAGCGAUGCAGUGUAUGUGGGUCUGUCAGCCCUGCGUCGCCAGGUAAAGCAGCCAGGUCAUCAGUACCCUCUCACCUGUACGGCUUCCUGGAGCCCAGGCCCGUUUUCUAUCUGACUCUAUUCUUAGGCCUCCAUGCCCUAACUCGGGUCCUGUCCCUGGACCCUUGCCCAUGGCCUUUGGAAUGGGGUCUUUGAGUCUUGCUCUCCCUAGUGGCUUGAAACAGCCUCUUGGGUCCAUCCCACUGUAGAGCUGGGGAGACAGCCUGGCUAGUGGAGCAGGGCUGAUUUCACACCAUCCUCAGACCUGGGCAAGAGGCCUGCUCCCUGGGUCCCACACUUCAGAGGACCCUACUCUGGCCAUGCAUCUCCUCAAGGGACAAGGAAUCCAUGGAGCCAAAGGGAUGCUGUGCUCACUUGGAGUCUACCUGACACCUCCCACCCUUCCAGAUCACUGCCUGAUACCUGGGACUGCAGCAUUCCCUGCCCAGAUAUCCCAAAGCCCACUUCCUGAGCCCAGGUGGGCCUCAUUCCUGGGUCCAUCCUCCUGAGGGUGGCCUGCUCUGUCAGUGCACACCCAGGCCUGAGGAGUGGCCAGCUGUUUUGGGGGGUUAUGAAAGGAGUUUGAACACUUGCACUGGUGUCUACGUGCAUGUGAGCCCCUCAUGGUGUGGGAGGGACCUGGGGUAGGAAAAGAAGGGAGUGGGUCAAGGAGGGGCCAAGGCUGGUUCUCCCUGCACCUCCACAGCUGGGGUGGGACCUGGGACCUCCACAGCUGGGGUCCCAGGGGGCCUGAGAACUUUAAAUUGAAAACUGGCCUCCUAGGUUGUUAUAAAG
rnacentral:lncRNA from 1 species